UACACUCCUACGGGAGGCAGCAGUGAGGAAUAUUGGACAAUGGGUGGAAGCAUGAUCCAGCCAUCCCGCGUGCAGGAAGACGGCCCUAUGGGUUGUAAACUGCUUUUAUCUGGGGAUAAACCUACUUACGUGUAAGUAGCUGAAGGUACCAGAAGAAUAAGCACCGGCUAACUCCGUGCCAGCAGCCGCGGUAAUACGGAGGGUGCAAGCGUUAUCCGGAUUUAUUGGGUUUAAAGGGUCCGUAGGCGGACUGAUAAGUCAGUGGUGAAAUCCGACAGCUUAACUGUCGAACUGCCAUUGAUACUGUUAGUCUUGAGUAAGGUUGAAGUGGCUGGAAUAAGUAGUGUAGCGGUGAAAUGCAUAGAUAUUACUUAGAACACCAAUUGCGAAGGCAGGUCACUAAGUCUUAACUGACGCUGAUGGACGAAAGCGUGGGGAGCGAACAGGAUUAGAAACCCGGGUAGUCCCAUGA
rnacentral:rRNA from 1 species